AAUAGAUACCCCGGUAGUCCACGCCGUAAACGAUGAGUGCUAAGUGUUAGAGGGUUUCCGCCCUUUAGUGCUGCAGCUAACGCAUUAAGCACUCCGCCUGGGGAGUACGGCCGCAAGGCUGAAACUCAAAGGAAUUGACGGGGGCCCGCACAAGCGGUGGAGCAUGUGGUUUAAUUCGAAGCAACGCGAAGAACCUUACCAGGUCUUGACAUCCUCUGCCAACCCUAGAGAUAGGGCGUUCCCCUUCGGGGGACAGAGUGACAGGUGGUGCAUGGUUGUCGUCAGCUCGUGUCGUGAGAUGUUGGGUUAAGUCCCGCAACGAGCGCAACCCUUGAUCUUAGUUGCCAGCAUUCAGUUGGGCACUCUAAGGUGACUGCCGGUGACAAACCGGAGGAAGGUGGGGAUGACGUCAAAUCAUCAUGCCCCUUAUGACCUGGGCUACACACGUGCUACAAUGGAUGGUACAAAGAGCUGCGAACCCGCGAGGGUAAGCGAAUCUCAUAAAGCCAUUCUCAGUUCGGA
rnacentral:rRNA from 1 species